UACGUAGGGUGCAAGCGUUGUCCGGAAUUAUUGGGCGUAAAGGGCUCGUAGGCGGUCCAUCGCGUCGGGAGUGAAAAGCUGGGGCUUAACCCCAGUCCUGCUUCCGAUACGGGUGGACUAGAGGUAGGUAGGGGAGAACGGAAUUCCUGGUGUAGCGGUGAAAUGCGCAGAUAUCAGGAGGAACACCGGUGGCGAAGGCGGUUCUCUGGGCCUUACCUGACGCUCAGGUGCGAAAGCUAGGGGAGCGAACAGG
rnacentral:rRNA from 1 species